GGUGAUGUGCAGACUAUGGCUAGUGCUCUCAAGAUGACCAUCGCAUGGCCAUACAAUAAAAUUAAGGAAUGCAAGAAGAAGGCAUCUGGACCUCUCAAGAGCACUGUAGGAAGUGCUCCAAACUAGCCUUUGACUUGAGUUUCAAGAAUAUUAUUCUGCUGAUGGAUGAGCUCUACCUUUUGGCA